GAAUGAUCAAGUGAUAUAAGGGCAUCUGGUGGAUGCCUUGGCAUGCACAGGCGAUGAAGGACGUGAUACGCUGCGAUAAGCCAUGGGGAGCUGCGAAUAAGCUUUGAUCCGUGGAUUUCCGAAUGGGGCAACCCACCUCCGACUUCUAGAAAAUCGGAACGGCACUGGUUGGACUUCGGUCUGGCCGGUGGCGCUGCGGUUUCUAGGGGUCAUCAGCGAGGUAUCUUAUCUUCGAAUAAAAUAGGGAUAAGAAGCGAACUCGGGGAACUGAAACAUCUAAGUACCCGAAGGAAAGGACAUCAACCGAGACUCCGUCAGUAGCGGCGAGCGAACGCGGACCAGGCCAGUGGCAAUCUAUGAAAGAAGCCGAACACGUUGGAAAUCGUGGCAAGAAUGGGUGAUAGCCCCGUAGGCAUAAUGUUCUUGAUUGUCCUCGAGUAGGGCGGGACACGUGAAAUCCUGUCUGAAAUUAGGGGGACCACCCUCUAAGCCUAAGUACUCGUGCAUGACCGAUAGCGAACCAGUACCGUGAGGGAAAGGUGAAAAGCACCCCGACAAGGGGAGUGAAAUAGAACCUGAAACCGGAUGCCUACAAACAGUCGGAGCCAUAAUGGGUGACGGCGUACCUUUUGUAUAAUGGGUCAGCGACUUAGUCUGGCGAGCAAGCUUAAGCCGAUAGGUGGAGGCGUAGCGAAAGCGAGUCUGAACAGGGCGUUCAGUUCGUCGGAUUAGACCCGAAACCGAGUGAUCUAGCCAUGAGCAGGUUGAAGGUGCAGUAACAUGCACUGGAGGACCGAACCCAUAUCUGUUGCAAUAGAUCGGGAUGACUUGUGGCUAGGGGUGAAAGGCCAAUCAAACUCGGAAAUAGCUGGUUCUCCGCGAAAUCUAUUUAGGUAGAGCGUCGACCGAAUACCCCCGGGGGUAGAGCACUGAAUGGGCUAGGGGGACUCACCGUCCUACCAAACCCAAUCAAACUCCGAAUACCGGGGAGUACUAGUCGGCAGACACACGGCGGGUGCUAACGUCCGUCGUGGAGAGGGAAACAACCCUGACCACCAUCUAAGGUCCCCAAGUCAUGGCUAAGUGGGAAAGGAUGUGAAGAUCCCAAAACAACCAGGAUGUUGGCUUAGAAGCAGCCAUCAUUUAAAGAAAG
rnacentral:rRNA from 1 species